rnacentral:rRNA from 1 species
UACGAAGGGUGCAAACGUUGCUCGGAAUUAUUGGGCGUAAAGCGCACGUAGGCGGCAUUGCAAGUCGGAUGUGAAAUCUUAUGGCUUAACCAUAAAAGUGCAUCCGAAACUGCAGUGCUUGAGUACUUAAGAGGAUCGCGGAAUUCCCGGUGUAGAGGUGAAAUUCGUAGAUAUCGGGAGGAACACCAGUGGCGAAGGCGGGUCUCUGGACAGUUCCUGACGCUGAGGCACGAAGGCCAGGGGAGCAAACGGGG